UACGGAGGGUGCGAGCGUUGUCCGGAAUCACUGGGCGUAAAGCGCACGUAGGCGGCUUUCUAAGUCAGGGGUGAAAUCCUGGAGCUCAACUCCAGAACUGCCUUUGAUACUGGAAAGCUUGAGUUCGGGAGAGGUGAGUGGAACUGCGAGUGUAGAGGUGAAAUUCGUAGAUAUUCGCAAGAACACCGGUGGCGAAGGCGGCUCACUGGCUCAUUACUGACGCUCAGGCGCGACAGCGUGGGGAUCAAACAGG
rnacentral:rRNA from 1 species